UCCGGUGACCAUAGCGGUGGGGAAACACCUGUUCCCAUCCCGAACACAGCAGUUAAGCCCACCAGCGCCGAUGGUACUGCCCUGGCAACGGGGUGGGAGAGUAGGUCAUUGCCGGGU
rnacentral:rRNA from 1 species